AUCCUUGUUUUACUUUCACACACGCUAAUAAGCUAUGCAUAUACCUUGAUGCAUGGUCCGACCAAUUUCAGUGGGUUUUAUUCAAAGGUAGUCCCAAGCUCUUCCACCUAUGAUGCGGUAAAGUGGUGGUAGACUAGUAGGAUAACAUGUUCGUUGACAGUGAAGCACUUGGAUAGCUUAUAGGUUUAGUAUGCGCAUGCAAAUGGAGUAUUUGUUGCGACGAGCCUAUAAGUGCCGUGUGAGUCUUUCUAAAACUGCAGAUAACCCUCCC
rnacentral:lncRNA from 1 species